GACGAACGCUGGCGGCGUGCUUAACACAUGCAAGUCGAACGGAAAGGCCCUGCUUUUGUUGGGUGCUCGAGUGGCGAACGGGUGAGUAACACGUGAGUAACCUGCCCUUGACUUUGGGAUAACUUCAGGAAACUGGGGCUAAUACCGGAUAGGAGCUCCUGCUGCAUGGUGGGGGUUGGAAAGUUUCGGCGGUUGGGGAUGGACUCGCGGCUUAUCAGCUUGUUGGUGGGGUAGUGGCUUACCAAGGCUUUGACGGGUAGCCGGCCUGAGAGGGUGACCGGCCACAUUGGGACUGAGAUACGGCCCAGACUCCUACGGGAGGCAGCAGUGGGGAAUAUUGCACAAUGGGCGGAAGCCUGAUGCAGCAACGCCGCGUGCGGGAUGACGGCCUUCGAGUUGUAAACCGCUUUCGCCUGUGACGAAGCGUGAGUGACGGUAAUGGGUAAAGAAGCACCGGCUAACUACGUG
rnacentral:rRNA from 1 species